ACUUCUUUGUCGGGCGAGGAUAAUUUCGCGGGAUUCUAGUGCCAUUAGAACGUGGCUCAUGUAUCGAACGCCCUUGACAUAGUCGAGUUAGAUCAGAUGCUACAGUCGAGGCACCUGUACGGGUUCCCACGCAAACUUUUAAUUGGAAUUGGAGUCAGAACUUCUAGUGUAAGCGGAGAGUGAUUGCACGACAGCUCAAGCUAACAGCGGGACAGGCUACUGGCAGCCAGAUCCCUUCGCCUGGGAGUGGCAACACAUGGUCGCAGAAAACGGCAGUGAAAGAGGUUUUAGUCAUCAGAGACUUAUCGGGCAUGAUACGAGACUACGACCGGAAAAUGCGUGUUCUCAAGGCGCAAAUGUUGACAUUUGAUGCGAGACAACCUGAAACUCAAAAUCUGAUAAGUUCUCAAAAAUAUCUCAGGAAAGGAAACGGGUGGCUCGUGCUCUCUAUGUGGUUGCGGAUUCUUCGUCAAGCACCUAAACCUGCAAGAACAAGCAGCUACGUAUAUGGUGACUCAGUGGAACACGUCUGUCAAGUAACGCGCAGGUCGUAAGAACGGGUUAUCUGGAGUGGCAACCUAUAUAAAAUGUAACACGCUCCAGCUUGAGUAAACGACGUUACCCCAUCUCUCCA